rnacentral:rRNA from 1 species
UAUCUCUGUAGAGUCUGCAUAUCAAUAAGCGGAGGAAAAGAAACUAACUAAGGAUUCCCUCAGUAACGGCGAGUGAAGCGGGAAGAGCUCAAAUUUGAAAUCUUCAAGGUUCUACCUUGACGAAUUGUAGUUUAAAGAAGUGUUUUCUGUUGAAGUUUCGGUAAAAGUUCUUUGGAAUAGGACAUCAUAGAGGGUGAGAAUCCCGUAUUUGACCAGUUAUUUCCAGCUGUGUGAUACACUUUCAAAGAGUCGGAUUGUUUGGGAAUGCAGUCCAAAAUGGGUGGUAAAUUUCAUCUAAAGCUAAAUACUGGCGAGAGACCGAUAGCGAACAAGUACCGUGAGGGAAAGAUGAAAAGAACUUUGAAAAGAGAGUUAAACAGUACGUGAAAUUGUCAAAAGGGAAGCGUUUGACACCAGUGUUGUUUUCUCGAAAAUCAAUUAAAAAAGUCAGGAUUUUGUAUUGUAAGUGACUUAUCAGCUUACUGCUACUCUUUUCUUGUCUUUUUUAAUGCACUUUUCGUUUAACAAGUCAACAUCAAUUUCUUUUGUUGUAAAAGAGUCAUUGGAAGGUGGCUUUCACUUUCGGUGAAAGUGUUUAUAGCCUUUGGCCUCUGCAAUCGGAGAGAUUGAGGUCUGCAGCGUAGAUCCUUCGGGGUUAGAUACAGUUAGAUGCUAAGUUAUAGCCUUUUCAUAGACAACUUGUUGACUAUAAUCAUCAUGUAGCUUACUCGCUUAUGCUAUUUUACCUACGCUUAGGAUGUUGAAGAUGUAGCACAUCAU